rnacentral:rRNA from 1 species
GACGAACGCUGGCGGCGUGCCUAAUACAUGCAAGUUGAGCGCUGAAGGUUGGUACUUGUACCAACUGGAUGAGCAGCGAACGGGUGAGUAACGCGUGGGGAAUCUGCCUUUGAGCGGGGGACAACAUUUGGAAACGAAUGCUAAUACCGCAUAAAAACUUUAAACACAAGUUUUAAGUUUGAAAGAUGCAAUUGCAUCACUCAAAGAUGAUCCCGCGUUGUAUUAGCUAGUUGGUGAGGUAAAGGCUCACCAAGGCGAUGAUACAUAGCCGACCUGAGAGGGUGAUCGGCCACAUUGGGACUGAGACACGGCCCAAACUCCUACGGGAGGCAGCAGUAGGGAAUCUUCGGCAAUGGACGAAAGUCUGACCGAGCUACGCCGCGUGAGUGAAGAAGGUUUUCGGAUCGUAAAACUCUGUUGGUAGAGAAGAACGUUGGUGAGAGUGGAAAGCUCAUCAAGUGACGGUAACUACCCAGAAAGGGACGGCUAACUACGUG